rnacentral:rRNA from 1 species
AACGAACGCUGGCGGCAUGCCUAACACAUGCAAGUCGAACGAAACCUUCGGGUCUAUUGGCCCACGGGGGCGUAACGCGUGGGAACCUGCACUUAUGUUCGGAAUAACUCUCCGACAGGGGUGCUAAUACCGGAUCAUGUCUUCGGACCGAAGAUUUAUCGCCUUUGGAUGGGCACGCGUUGGAUUAGCUAGUUGGUAGGGUAAAAGCCUACCAAGGCGACGAUCCAUAGCUGGUCUGAGAGGAUGAUCAGCCACACUGGGACUGAGACACGGCCCAGAAUCCUACGGGAGGCAGCAGUGGGGAAUAGUGGACCAUGGGGGAAAGCCUGAUGCAGCAAUGACGCGUGAGUGAUGAAGGCCUUAGGGAUGUAAAGCUCUUUUACCCGGGAUGAUAAUGACAGUACCGGGAGAAUAAGCUCCGGCUAACUCCGUG